GCACAGGGCCAAGAAUGGAGCCCUCUGGAACCCCACUGGUGACAGGUCACCAGUCUGUUGUCACCCCAUUCACUAUCACCCUCAUGCCUGACCUGUGAGCCAGUUGCUCACCCAUGCCAUAAUGUGUUUAUCCAGCUGUGUGCUGCACAUUUUGUCCAGAAGGACACUGGGAGUGACACUAUUGAAAGCUUUUCUGAAAUCCAAAGAGUGCAUUCACUGGUUUCCCGCGAUCAAGAGAACCCAUAAGAGAAAUCCUGUGAAGAAUCAAGAUACCCAUGUUUUAUGGAUAGAACUUUUCGGGAACAGUGAACCCUGUGCCACCAGUGCAAAUCACAGUCCGAGCACUCCAAUUUCAGCACCUUCUGGGAACUUGCAACAAGUAUGAAACAUUGCCUAGAGAACAACAGUGCUACCCAAACUCUCUCCAGUCCUGGGUGCAAACUGCAGGAAUCAGCCCUGCUCAAACAUCCAGAUUAUUUCAAGGCCUGCUACCACAGCUUUUGAGAAUUCUUAAGUCCCUUUAUAUGUGAAAGAAGGUAUCUUCUUGCUCCUAAGUCUACCAUGUCUCCUCAGAGCUGUCUACAUCAACAUCAAGAAAUCUACAUCAGAGCAAAGAAAGAGAUUUCUAGGAAGAUUGACAUUCAGAGAUCUUACCUAAGGGUGGAUAGUUAUAAGUGGCACAGAAUGUGGGAGAAAAAAAGAGGCCACGUUUUAAAGCACUAUUCUUCUCCAAUGGUUUGGAAGUUCACACCUGAAUAACUACAGGACCCUGUUAAAGUGGCAGAAUAUUUGACAGAAAAAGGCAGUUCUAGACAGGGGGGAAGUUCUACAGUGUCCCUGGACCUUGGCAACUAUUCAUUGAAUAUGGCUUGAUACUAGAUAGCACCCUCACCAGGAAGAGGAGGAAAGCAGAGAAAGAUGCACUGUGGGCACUCAAACGGCAGCUGAACCACAGAAAUGACUCAUGCUACUCAGUAGCAGUUGUCCCUAUACAGAAGAAAUCCAAGUUAAAAUCCGUUCACUUCGUGAGGGGUGAAGAAAUAGAGCCCUUAAAACAGGAGGCAGGACCAAAGAUAAUCACUUAAUUCCUAGCCCCAAGUCAGCUGUGAGAUACACAAGAUUUCAGUCAGGUGAGUCCUUGGUGACCUGUCUGCUCCAAUACUGGCACAAUGUGGCUCCCUAUAUGAAACUAAUGGUAAAGAAUCUAAGAAACUGGGAUUCCUGUCCUGGAAUGUGGGCAUUGAUAAGGGUGUUGGGAAGAGGACAGUACAUUACCAUCUGGAGUCAUGGACAAAAAGGAUCUGAAUUCCAAGAAAAAUGAGAUCCUUGCAUUUUAUUAAGGGGCUCAAGCCACCUCCAAAGUGUUUGGCACCAAAGCACAGCUUCUCAUGGCACCCCGACUGCCAGUGCUGGGCUGAAUGUUGAAAGGGACAGUCUCUUACACACAUCAUGCCACUGAGGCUGUGCAGAGUAAGUAGAUCGCACUGAUCAGAUAGCAAGCUCAAACAGGAAAACCCAAUUGUCCAGGGAUCCUGGAGCUCAUAAUGAACUGCCCCAAAAGUGAAAAUUUCAGAGUAUCCAACUACCAGACAAGAAGGAAAAGAUGACACAUGGUGAGGAGGGCCUGCCCACCACUUAACCAGCUACCAGAAAAUGAAAAGAACAUGCUCUCUUUAGUGAUGGUUCCUGCCAUAGUGGCAAUGUAAGAGUGAGUUAUUUUUGGCUCAAAGGGCCCUUGACUCCUCCAAUCAUCCAGUAAGAGAUGCUGCAUACACAUGGGCUCACGACUGAGGAGUGUACUUAAACACGGACACUAUUUCCCAGGUGAUGCAUAACUGUGGAACAUUCACUGCAAUCAACAGGCCAAAUGGGUAAAGUCUCUGUGGUAUGGGGGAUGAUGGUCAAAAUAUAAAUAUGAGCAGGCCUGGCAGAUUAAUUACAUCACACUCCCACAACACUACAAGGUAAUAGCUACCUUGAUAUUCGUGUAAAGAACAACUGAAUGGCUGCAGAUGUACCCUGUGCCUUAUACCACUGCCUGGAAUACCAUCUUGACCUUGCAAAGCAAGUUCUGUACAUGGUACCCCAGAAAGAACUGACCUGGACUACAGGACUCAUUUCAAAAAUAACGCCUGGGCUAGAGAGCAUGGUAUUGAGCAGGUAUAGCACACUCCCUGUCAGGCACCAGCCCCUAGUAAAACUGAACCUGUGCAAGCAAUUCAGCAAUUUCAGAUCUUGAGACUUCACAAGGCUAAGAAAUCAUACACGUUGGCUGCUCUCCAGCAUACAUAAAGUAUAUUCACCUGCCACUGUCCACCACAUUGCUUGGGCAAAACAGAUCCUCUUGAGGUGCAAAGGGAUGGCAAGUCUGCUGUGCACCUUGAUAGGUUGCUCUCAAAGCUUAUCAAGCUAAUAAAUACAAGUCAGAUGUGUCUUUCUCCAUAACAAGAAUCAAAGGCACAUGUUUGAUGUGCCUAAAGAUUUAUCUAAUGUUGCAGAAGCAAGCAAAAUACUGUCUCACUUCACCCUGCUCUCAUCACUAGCAAUCCUGCAGGGAUAAACCUAAUGAGAGACUUUGUGUUCUCCUGCAUAAUAAUAAUUUCCAUCUUUGUUUAGGUAAAUUGAAUACUGAGCUCAGGUUUUCUCUGAUCAGCAUUUUCUUCACCUGAGAAUUGUAUGACAAGCCAUGACUUUCUUUUUCAACUUCUUCCUAAAAAUGCAUACAGUGUGUGCAAUUUUCUCAUGUCCUUCUCAGCCACUUACUCAGUGGUGAAAUCAGCUCUCUUCACAGUCUGAAUAUCAAGUUUUAUACAUUUGGAGGCCACUGUAGAUGAUUUUGCUGUCAUGUUAUAUUAGGUUCUCUUGCAGAACUGUUUGUUAACUGUGACUUCUAGAUCCCUUUUAUAGUUUCUCCUUUUGAAAAUACUAUUCUACUCUUACUGAGAUGAGGCUUGCAUUUCUCAUUGGUUGUAUUGGUUUAAAUACAACCAAUUGUGACUGUAUUUAAAAACUGCCUUUUGUUUAAAUUAGUUUUGUUUAAUUUUUCAAGUGGCUUCAGAAAGCCAUAGCUUUCUGCAAUGUGACAUCUGCCCAUUUUAUUAACAGCAAAUCUAUUUAUCUCUAGAUCAUAAAGUGUUGGAAAUCAUUGGAUAGAAUGCUCUGAAGAACUGCAGUAGAAAUAUUUCUGUUCAGUGAUGCUAAAAAAUAACCAAUUUUUGUGCAUGACUAUCUUAAUAGGAGUUUGAAUGAUAAUUAGCAGCAAAAAAAAAAAAAAGUAGCUGCAAUUGUACAGUAUUACACCAGCUCUCAGUAAUGCUGCCAGUAGCAAAAAAGGAGAAGGCCAGGCUUAUGCCCUAAAUUUGUGCCCUGAACAUAAAGUCACUAACAUCCAGAGCAGGGCAACAGAGCUCUCCUGUGCACCUUCUCUGCCCUACCUCCUCUCUCCUGGCACUGAGGGCCUCCUGAUCACAUUGGUUCACCAGACUGGCUCAGGGCAGCUUCAGUGUGCCAGCUGUACACUCAAGCACAGCAAGAGAGCAUUGCAAGGUGUGACACCCUGGUGUGCUGAGAGAGGACUACAACUUCCACUCUAAAAGCACACAUUUCAGAGGCAUUUUCAACAGAUGGCCUUAGCAUGCACAAUUCUUUUUCUGAUAUGCUUCAACAAUAUUACCAGAGGUAUGCCAACAAGA